rnacentral:rRNA from 1 species
AUUGAACGCUGGCGGCAGGCCUAACACAUGCAAGUCGAGCGGAUGAGUGGAGCUUGCUCCAUGAUUCAGCGGCGGACGGGUGAGUAAUGCCUAGGAAUCUGCCUGGUAGUGGGGGACAACGUUUCGAAAGGAACGCUAAUACCGCAUACGUCCUACGGGAGAAAGCAGGGGACCUUCGGGCCUUGCGCUAUCAGAUGAGCCUAGGUCGGAUUAGCUAGUAGGUGAGGUAAUGGCUCACCUAGGCGACGAUCCGUAACUGGUCUGAGAGGAUGAUCAGUCACACUGGAACUGAGACACGGUCCAGACUCCUACGGGAGGCAGCAGUGGGGAAUUUUGGACAAUGGGCGCAAGCCUGAUCCAGCAAUGCCGCGUGCAGGAUGAAGGCC